CUGUAAAAUAACGAUUCAGGGUGAUGAAUGAAUCCUCACUGCUAAUGUGAGAUGAAUUUUUGAGUGGGCAAAGGUUGCCCCUAAGGUGACCCGCUUACUUUGUGGGAUGUCUGGGAGUUGUGAUAUGCCCG
rnacentral:snRNA from 1 species